UACGUAGGGGGCAAGCGUUGUCCGGAUUUAUUGGGCGUAAAGAGCGUGUAGGCGGUCCGGUAAGUCAGCUGUGAAAGUCAAGGGCUCAACCCUUGAAAGCCGGUUGAUACUGUCGGGCUAGAGUCCGGAAGAGGCGAGUGGAAUUCCCGGUGUAGCGGUGAAAUGCGCAGAUAUCGGGAGGAACACCUGUGGCGAAGGCGGCUUUCUGGGCCUUACCUGACGCUGAGACGCGAAAGCGUGGGGAGCGAACCGG
rnacentral:rRNA from 1 species